rnacentral:rRNA from 1 species
UACGUAGGGGGCUAGCGUUAUCCGGAUUUACUGGGCGUAAAGGGUGCGUAGGUGGUUUCUUAAGUCAGGAGUGAAAGGCUACGGCUCAACCGUAGUAAGCUCUUGAAACUGGGAAACUUGAGUGCAGGAGAGGAAAGUGGAAUUCCUAGUGUAGCGGUGAAAUGCGUAGAUAUUAGGAGGAACACCAGUAGCGAAGGCGGCUUUCUGGACUGUAACUGACGCUGAGGCACGGAAAAGCGUGGGGGAGCAAACAGGAUUAGAUACCCCCGAGUCC